CCUACGGGAGGCAGCAGCAGGGAAUCUUCCACAAUGGGCGAAAGCCUGAUGGAGCAACGCCGCGUGUGUGAUGAAGGGUUUCGGCUCGUAAAACACUGUUGUAAGAGAAGAAUGACAUUGAGAGUAACUGUUCAAUGUGUGUCGGUAUCUUACCAGAAAGGAACGGCUAAAUACGUGCCAGCAGCCGCGGUAAU
rnacentral:rRNA from 1 species